UAUUAUUUUUAUUGUAAAUUAAGAAGUCGGAGUAUUAAUAGUUAUGAUCUUUAAACUUAAAAAAUUUGGCGGUAUUAUAGUCUAUUUAGAGGAAUCUGUUAUGUAAUUGAUAAUCCACAAUGAACCUUACUUGCAUUAUUUCUUGUAUAUCACUGUUUAAAGAAAAUACUUUUAGGAAUAUUUUCUGGAAAUAUGAUUUUUUAACAUUUCAAGUCAAGGUGCAGUAAUAUGUAAGUUGAAUAAUGUAUUACAAUAAAUUUUAUUUAAAUGAAUUCUUAUUGGAAUAUAAUUUGAAGGUGGAUUUAAUAGUAAUUUUAUGAAGAUUGAUAAGAUGAUUAAAGCUCUAUAAUAUGUAC
rnacentral:rRNA from 1 species